CCUACGGGGGGCAGCAGUGGGGAAUAUUGGGCAAUGGGCGCAAGCCUGACCCAGCAACGCCGCGUGAAGGAAGAAGGCUUUCGGGUUGUAAACUUCUUUUGUCAGGGACGAAGCAAGUGACGGUACCUGACGAAUAAGCCACGGCUAACUACGUGCCAGCAGCCGCGGGAAUACGUAGGUGGCAAGCGUUAUCCGGAUUUAUUGGGUGUAAAGGGCGUGGAGGCGGUAUGGCAAGGCAAGGGUGAAAUCCCCGCGGUCAACGUGGGAACUGCCUUUGAAACUGUCAAACUGGAGUGGUGGAGAGGUUAGUGGAAUUCCAGGUGUAGGAGUGAAAUCCGUAGAUAUCUGGAGGAACAUCAGUGGCGAAGGCGACUAUCUGGCACAUAACUGACGCUGAGGAGCGAAAGCGUGGGUAGCAAACAGGAUUAGAUACCCUUGUAGUC
rnacentral:rRNA from 1 species